ACAAGCGGUGGAGCAUGCGGUUUAAUUCGACGCAACGCGAAGAACCUUUACCAGGGCUUGACAUCCCUUGAAGCAGCUAGAGAUAGCUGUGUCCUUCGGGACAAGGAGACAGGUGGUGCAUGGUUGUCGUCAGCUCGUGUCGUGAGAUGUUGGGUUAAGUCCCGCAACGAGCGCAACCCCUGUGGUUAGUUGCCAGCAAGUAGCGUUGGGCACUCUAGCCAGACUGCCGGUGAUAAAUCGGAGGAAGGUGGGGACGACGUCAAAUCAUCAUGCCCUUUAUGUCCUGGGCUACACACGUACUACAAUGGCCGUUACAACGGGAAGCGAAGGAGCAAUCCGGAGCAAAUCCCUUAAAGGCGGUCCCAGUUCAGAUUGUGGGCUGAAACUCGCCCACAUGAAGGCGGAAUUGCUAGUAAUUGCAGAUCAGCAUGCUGCAGUGAAUACGUUCCCGGGCCUU
rnacentral:rRNA from 1 species